rnacentral:rRNA from 1 species
UACGUAGGGGGCAAGCGUUGUCCGGAUUUAUUGGGCGUAAAGAGCGUGUAGGCGGUUUGGUAGGUCCGUUGUGAAAACUCGAGGCUCAACCUCGAGACGCCGAUGGAAACCAUCAGACUAGAGUCCGGAAGAGGAGAGUGGAAUUCCUGGUGUAGCGGUGAAAUGGCGCAGAUAUCAGGAAGAACACCCGUGGCUAAGGCGGCUCUCUAGUACGGUACUGACGCUGAGACGCGAAAGCGUGGGGAGCGAACAGG